UCCUCCAAUAUAUCACUAGUAUGAAAUGGUAAGCAAGAGAUCAUAAUGGACACAAGAUUUUUUUUUUUUUUUUUUUAUCUUUUGUUUUUGUUUUUUUGAUGGUAGUGUCUGUAUGUAAGUGGGUAAUUAAACAACAAGUAUUUGGAUGCUGGGUUCAUUAGCAAGGGAAUUUAAACCUUUCCAUGGUGGAAGAAUUAUAGAAGAGG
rnacentral:lncRNA from 1 species